rnacentral:piRNA from 1 species
UGGUACUGAUGGUCGUGGCUGAAGUUCCUU